rnacentral:rRNA from 1 species
GACGAACGCUGGCGGCGUGCUUAACACAUGCAAGUCGAACGGAAAGGCCCUGCUUUUGUGGGGUGCUCGAGUGGCGAACGGGUGAGUAACACGUGAGUAACCUGCCCUUGACUUUGGGAUAACUUCAGGAAACUGGGGCUAAUACCGGAUAGGAGCUCCUGCUGCAUGGUGGGGGUUGGAAAGUUUCGGCGGUUGGGGAUGGACUCGCGGCUUAUCAGCUUGUUGGUGGGGUAGUGGCUUACCAAGGCUUUGACGGGUAGCCGGCCUGAGAGGGUGACCGGCCACAUUGGGACUGAGAUACGGCCCAGACUCCUACGGGAGGCGGCAGUGGGGAAUAUUGCACAAUGGGCGGAAGCCUGAUGCAGCAACGCCGCGUGCGGGAUGACGGCCUUCGGGCUGUAAACCGCUUUCGCCUGUGACGAAGCGUGAGUGACGGUAAUGGGUAAAGAAGCACCGGCUAACUACGUG